CCAAAAUCACCGCCUCGCCGUCCCUUCUCCGGUCGUAUAACCUCGCCGCCGGAUCGUUGACGCGCCCCGUCAGUAGCUCGGCCUCCGUUUUUAUGCCGUAGUCAUAAGACAGGAUUUACUUAGUGCAGAUUUUCGGGUCUGAGGAUUUCCUGGUCAAGACAGGAGAAAUUAUACCUGGUUUUGUAAUCAAAAGCUUCCUGGAUGUAAUCUUUGAAGCCGUCGACUUCCAUGGCCCGAUCGUAGGAUUUCUUGGCCACGCUCAAGGUAAAAGGGCUGAUGAAGCUCCAGUUGGCGGAGAUAUCCUUCACUUGCCGGAACAGCUUGCCAAUAACUCGCUUAGAUUCGUAGAAGGGCUUCCCGGGCUUGUCCAAGAAAUCCGGAUACUCCUUUACGCGCAGGUGGGACGGUAUCUCAGCCGGAACGCCGGUCUUGGGGAAGUCGACUGCUACCGAGAAUAUGCGAGCGAGUUCUAAACAGGGCUCACUCAGCGCCAUGUCCGGUUCUUUGUCCGCAAACACCACAUGGGCGAUCGAAAUUACGCCUAAAUUGUCGUUUAGAAUGUAGUCUGCGAAGUACUUUUGAAUUUCCUGAUGAGGAAAUUAAAGAACACAUUAUAUAUAUUACCCCGUCUCAUUUUGGUUGUCUGAUUCCUUUAAGUUUGAAGUUAUUUUUAAUCUAAUUUUUCAUAAUAUUAAGUUUAA